AAAGUCGUAACAAGGUUUCCGUAGGUGAACCUGCGGAAGGAUCAUUAUUAAACAAAACAGGUUUAAAUUCCUGUGCGGAGCGACGUUCGCCCUGUUCGAAUCUCCACAGUUCGAAUUAGAGUAUGAAUGCGAUGUCUCUCCGACAUUGAUCUUUUGUAUUUAGUGAUAAACUAAAAGGGCGUCGUGAAGCAAAUUUACCUCACACAUUUUUGUCUGAAUCUUUUUGUUGUUCAAAUGAACUUCAAUAUGAAUUUUAAACAACUUUUAACAACGGAUCUCUAGGCUCCU
rnacentral:misc_RNA from 1 species